rnacentral:misc_RNA from 1 species
UUUCCGUAGGUGAGUUAAAAUCCUUAUGUAUCUAACUUUUUAAUAAACUUAUGCUAAUAAGAUUCUAGGUGAACCUGCGGAAGGAUCAUUAAAAGGAUUCAUUCCUAACCCUUGUGUAUUAUCCUUUGCUUCGGCACUGUGGUGCCGGUAGCCAAAACUUUUAACUUUUAAAAAUUGUUGUGUCUGAAAAAUAUAAAACACUUAAAAACUUUCAACAACGGAUCUCUUGGUUCCCGCAUCGAUGAAGAACGCAGC